UACUUCAUAUGUCCACUUUUGCCCUCAGGUC
rnacentral:piRNA from 1 species